UAAAAAAUUAUUUUAAAUUUACAUUUUAUGAUUCUUUGUAUAAAAUCCUAAGUUGGGCUGAGUCAUAAUCGAAAUCCGCGGAUGCUGUAUCUGUAUUUCUGUUCACUUUAUGGGACCAUUUGGUUAGAUAUAAUUAUAAAUACAAUAUAGAUGGAGAUGCAGUAAUUAUAACUAUAUAUAUUUUGUUUGGUUAAAUGCAGUAAAAAAUACUGUAAUUUAAAUAAUUUAUUUGGUUAUAUUUAGUUGAGAAGCGCGUUUGUAAAAGAUUACCUCCAACAUAGAAAUAGAAAAUUUAUUUUUAUUUAAACAUUAAUUAGAGAGGUAAACUCAUUUUGUGUUUACAGUUUUACUCUCUUCAACUAUUACAAUUUGAAUGUAGUUUCAACUACGGUAUUUGAACCUCCUUAUGCAGUUCUAACUACAGUUUUUGGAUUCGAAUGUAUCAAACUAACCGUCAGAUUUAGAUUUGCAUAUAGUUAUAACUGCAAUAUACAACCAAUAACCCCUAAAGUGAAUUAGUUGCAUAUUUUUAAUAGCUCGAGUUUUUUGAAUUGUGAUUGGCAUCGACAAUCUAACACAAAAGUUCAACUAGAGAUGUCAACGGGUCGGAUUCGGGGCAGAUUUUUAAAAAUCCGAACCCGAACCCGACUCCAAACCCGAA
rnacentral:lncRNA from 1 species